AUUGAACGCUGGCGGCAGGCCUAACACAUGCAAGUCGAGCGGAUGAAGGGAGCUUGCUCCUGGAUUCAGCGGCGGACGGGUGAGUAAUGCCUAGGAAUCUGCCUGGUAGUGGGGGAUAACGUCCGGAAACGGGCGCUAAUACCGCAUACGUCCUGAGGGAGAAAGUGGGGGAUCUUCGGACCUCACGCUAUCAGAUGAGCCUAGGUCGGAUUAGCUAGUUGGUGGGGUAAAGGCCUACCAAGGCGACGAUCCGUAACUGGUCUGAGAGGAUGACCAGUCACACUGGAACUGAGACACGGUCCAGACUCCUACGGGAGGCAGCAGUGGGGAAUAUUGGACAAUGGGCGAAAGCCUGAUCCAGCCAUGCCGCGUGUGUGAAGAAGGUCUUCGGAUCGUAAAGCACUUUAAGUUGGGAGGAAGGGCAGUAAGUUAAUACCUUGCUGUUUUGACGUUACCAACAGAAUAAGCACCGGCUAACUUCGUG
rnacentral:rRNA from 1 species